rnacentral:rRNA from 1 species
GACGAACCGUGCGAACGUUGUUCGGAAUCACUGGGCUUAAAGGGCGCGUAGGCGGCUUAUCAAGUCAGGGGUGAAAUCCGGCAGCUCAACUGUCGAAGUGCCUUUGAUACUGACGAGCUCGAGGGAGAUAGGGGUGUGUGGAACUUCCGGUGGAGCGGUGAAAUGCGUUGAUAUCGGAAGGAACGCCGGUGGCGAAAGCGACACACUGGAUCUCUUCUGACGCUGAGGCGCGAAAGCCAGGGGAGCAAACGGG